rnacentral:pre_miRNA from 1 species
CAGAUACUCCCUCCGUCUGGAAAUACUUGUCAUCAAAAUGGAUAAAAGGAAAUGUAUCUAGACAUAUUUUAGUUUUAGAUACAUCUCUUUUUAUCCAUUUUGAUGACAAGUAUUUCGGACGGAGGGAGUAGAAA